UGGGGAAUCUUGCACAAUGGGGGCAACCCUGAUGCAGCGACGCCGCGUGAGCGAUGAAGCCCUUCGGGGCGUAAAGCUCUUUCGACCGGAACGAUAAUGACGGUACCGGGAGAAGAAGCUGCGGCUAACUACGUGCCAGCAGCCGCGGUAAUACGUAGGCAGCAAGCGUUGUUCGGAGUUACUGGGCGUAAAGAGUGCGUAGGCGGUUUUCUAAGUUCGGUGUGAAAUCUCCCAGCUUAACUGGGAGGGUGCGCCGAAGACUGGGAAGCUGGAGUGUGGGAAAGGCAGGCGGAAUUCCUGGUGUAGCGGUGAAAUGCGUAGAUAUCAGGAGGAACACCGGCGGUGUAGACGGCUUGCUAGACCAUAACUGACGCUGAGGCACGAAAGCGUGGGUAGCAAACA
rnacentral:rRNA from 1 species